CUCCGCGCCGCCGCCCAUCUCCUCUGCCACCAUGUCUCUCUGCCGGGCCGCCUCGCUGGCGCUGGCCUCCCGCCUGAGCAGGGCUCCCGCCGCCGCCAGCCGCCUCAAGCAGCGUGCACCUCCUCGCCAGAUGUCAUCUGGGAGUGUUCCUGGCUCUUCUGGAGACAGGAUGACGAUCUAUCUCCUUGCUGGUGUUGCAGCUUUUGGUGGUUUAUUUUAUGCCUACAGAGUAGUCAAUUCAUCCCACAGCAAGUUUAUCAAACAUACAAAUAUUCUUCAUGAGAGAGCAGAGGGGCAGAAGAACAAUCCUUGGUCAAGGAAGGUUUCUGAGGAGAAGACAAUGGAAGAAGUUGCUAAAGAGCACUAAAGGUACACAGCACAGUUGCAGCAUGUGUAAGCAGUGUGGAUGCGUCUGGAAAGUUUAAUGCAAAUAUUUGUGGCAAUCAACCAGCUGAUUCCUGUGUGAAACCUCAUACUCUUCUUUGAAGACAUAAAAGAAACUGUGCAGUUUGUCCUACUACACACUGGUUAUUACAGCCAGUAUUCAGUGCUGCAAGAGAUGAUUUAUGUGGCUUAGAGAAACGCUUCUGUGAUUAACACCUCUGCUGUAGAAAGUAGCAUUCAUCAAGCCACUCAGUAUGUCCUAAAUAAAUGUGCUAAGAGAAGCA
rnacentral:lncRNA from 1 species